rnacentral:rRNA from 1 species
AUGGACGCACGGAUGAGGCUGAUAAUUCAGGCAGCAGCACUGAUAAAUGUGAUUCAGGCAUGGGUCAUGUUCAUGCACCAGAGAGUUGUUCGUCGUGCUGGGGGACCUUUGAUCUUCUAUGGUCCAAUGUUUGUCCGAGAACAGGAGAGGAUCCAAAAUCUGAACUACAUCUACAACCAUGACGUUGAGACUCUGUGGAUGCUUCGAAUGAAAAGAGCACCAUUUGCCAGGCUUGUCGAGACCUUUAGGAGCAGGGGCCUAUAAGAUAACAUCAACAACACCAGUGUGGAAGAGCAAGUGGCCAUGUUCCUCCAUAUUGUUGGCCAUAACUAGAGGUUCAGGGUCAUUCACAACAUGUUCAGGAGAUCAAUGGAGACCAUCUCUAGUAUCUUCAAGCAUGUGCUUUUUAAUGUUGGGGAGCGAGGAGAAAUGAUGAGGAGACCAUCUGGAUAGACUCCACCCAAGAUCCACGGAAGCUCAAGAUGGUAUCCAUACUUCAAGUUGAGCAUUGACAAUAUACAUGUUUCAUGGCUUGGUAUGCUUGUAUUGUUCAAGUUGAGCACUAACACAUGCUUGUGA